UAUCCUACGGGGCGCAGCAGUGAGGAAUAUUGGUCAAUGGGCGGGAGCCUGAACCAGCCAAGUCGCGUGAGGGAAGACGGUCCUAUGGAUUGUAAACCUCUUUAGGCGGGGAGCAAUGCCGGGCACGUGUGCCCGGAGGGAGAGUACCCGCAGAAUAAGCAUCGGCUAACUCCGUGCCAGCAGCCGCGGUAAUACGGAGGAUGCGAGCGUUAUCCGGAUUUAUUGGGUUUAAAGGGUGCGUAGGCGGAUUUUUAAGUCAUCGUGAGAAUGUCCGGGCUCAACCCGGGCCUGCCGUUGAAACUGUG
rnacentral:rRNA from 1 species